UACGGGGGGGCAAGCGUUGUUCGGAAUUACUGGGCGUAAAGGGCUCGUAGGCGGCCAACUAAGUCGGAUGUGAAAUCCCCAGGCUCAACUUGGGAACUGCAUCCGAUACUGGAUGGCUUGAAUUCGGAGAGGAUGCAGAAUUCCAGGUGUAGCGGUGAAAUGCGUAGAUAUCUGGAGGAAUACCGGUGGCGAAGGCGGCAUCCUGGACCGACAUUGACGCUGAUGAGCGAAAGCUAGGGAGCAACGGG
rnacentral:rRNA from 1 species